rnacentral:lncRNA from 1 species
GCUGGCUGCAAAUUGAAGGCCCCCUUGAAAAUGCUGGAAACAGAUGUUCUGUAGACUCUGACCUCUCAUCAUUAAUUUUAGAAUUUAAAUGCCUGUUAAUUUCCCCCCUUUUAUUGCUGAGCUCCACACAGCAGCAUGCUCAAUGUCAAUGGGAGCAUCCGUUGGGGGCAUUCCAUCUAUCAAAUCUGAAGGUCACUGGAAAUCUGGGAGCUCAGAGGAGGAAAGAAGGACCAGGAGCAAGGAGAGGGGGCCCUUGGGCACACAGGGUGAGGCUGAGAAGAGGCUCCUCUGGCUACAACUGAAGCCUGAGCAGAGGAGAUGAGCACCCACCUACCUGCCCUUGUCCAGUGCAUAGAGAAAAGAAGGGGUUUGGGGAGGAAACAUAGCCCAACCAUUAAACUGUGGAGAAGGAAGGUGGAGAGUGCCUGUAUAUGGAAAGAAGAAAAGCUAACUUCAUGGCUUUCUUGUAUUAACUAAACUGGUUUGAGCAAAAAUCCUGCUGAGUCUGUGUACAAAAAUCCCCCACCCUUGGUAUCUGACCCCCCUCGAUACCUAAUCAUCCUGGCUUGGCUUCAGGAAGAAUCCUAUGGAGACAGUUGGACCAGAAGCCCCUUUUCCUUUAUGUUUGCUCUUCUUUUCCAUCCACUGAGCCCCGCUCUGCUCCUUGGUUAAA